GCACUCUUGGUUUAGUGGUAAAAUCAGUGCUUCCCAUCUUCAUUUCAAAGGAGAAUGCACUGGCCCCGGGUUCGAUUCCCGGAGGGUGCA